rnacentral:lncRNA from 1 species
GAUUUCAACCGUAUGGAAUCAUCUACAAUGCAGCAGAUGGGUUUACAAGUCUCUUGGUCUCUUCGUGAAGAAGGAGUAGCAAUCGUGUCCCAAGUCCUUGAGGACUUCACAGGGCAUUCCAAUGUCCUGAGAAUAUACCUGCCUAAGAAAUUUGGCUAUAGCUGGUAUUGGGUCCCUCAAACCAGCCCACCUGCGCUAUGGGAAUGUCAAAACUGUCCUGGCAAGCUGAGGGGCAUCCAGAGGUCACCCAGCUUUCCCCUGAAGCGUUGCUCAGAGGCCACUGUACCAUAAAAGGGAGUUCCCAUCCCACACUGGUUCUGAAA